AUUGAACGCUGGCGGCAUGCCUUACACAUGCAAGUCGAACGGCAGCACGGGGCAACCUGGUGGCGAGUGGCGAACGGGUGAGUAAUGCAUCGGAACGUGCCAUUGAGUGGGGGAUAACGUAGCGAAAGUUGCGCUAAUACCGCAUAUUCUGUGAGCAGGAAAGCAGGGGACCGCAAGGCCUUGCGCUCUUUGAGCGGCCGAUGUCAGAUUAGCUAGUUGGUGAGGUAAAGGCUUACCAAGGCGACGAUCUGUAGCGGGUCUGAGAGGAUGAUCCGCCACACUGGAACUGAGACACGGUCCAGACUCCUACGGGAGGCAGCAGUGGGGAAUUUUGGACAAUGGGCGCAAGCCUGAUCCAGCCAUGCCGCGUGAGUG
rnacentral:rRNA from 1 species